rnacentral:hammerhead_ribozyme from 1 species
AUCCAGCUGACUCGUCCUAAAUAGGACAAAACACGCGUCUUACUGGAU